rnacentral:rRNA from 1 species
UACGUAGGGUGCAGGCGUUAAUCGGAAUUACUGGGCGUAAAGCGUGCGCAGGCGGUCUUUUAAGUCAGAUGUGAAAUCCCCGGGCUUAACCUGGGAACUGCGUUUGAAACUGGAAGGCUUGAGUGUGGCAGAGGGGGGUGGAAUUCCACGUGUAGCGGUGAAAUGCGUAGAGAUGUGGAGGAACACCGAUGGCGAAGGCAGCCUUCUGGGCCAACACUGACGCUCAUGCACGAAAGCGUGGGGAGCAAACAGG